rnacentral:lncRNA from 1 species
AUGUUUUAAAUCAGUACUGUUUUCCUUUACUUUGAAGUAAAAUUUAAAAUGAGAUGACUGAAAUAAUUUACGAUAAAAUAUCAUGGUUAUUUCUACAUAUUUAAGGUUUAAAAAUGCUCAAACUUAUACUUUCCUCAUAGAAAGAGCACUGGAAUGGGAAACUGAGAGGUCUGGGUUCUAUUCUGGCUUUGACAGUGAGUCACUGUGUGACAUCCAGAGAGCAUAACCUCCCCAGGCUCCUCACUUCUGAAAUGGGAGGGUUUUGAGGACAAAGUCUCUCUCUGCUUUAACAUUCAAUAUCCAAUUUCUGGCUGGAUGUCACACCCACAGCA